AUUGAACGCUGGCGGCAGGCCUAACACAUGCAAGUCGAACGAGUGGCGGACGGGUGAGUAAUGUCUGGGAAACUGCCCGAUGGAGGGGGAUAACUACUGGAAACGGUAGCUAAUACCGCAUACCAUCGGAUGUGCCCCGAUGGGAUUAGCUUGUAGGUGGGGUAACGGCUCACCUAGGCGACGAUCCCUAGCUGGUCUGAGAGGAUGAUCAGUCACACUGGAAGUGAGACACGAACCAGACGCCUACGGGAGGCAGCAGUGGGGAAUAGUGGACAAUGGGCGAAAGCCUGAUCCAGACAUGCCGCGUGUGUGAAGAAGGUCUUCGGAUUGUAAAGCACUUUAAGUUGGGAGGCGUUACCAACAGAAUAAGCACGGGCUAACUUCGUGCCAGCAGCCGCGGUAAUAC
rnacentral:rRNA from 1 species